rnacentral:rRNA from 1 species
GACGAACGCUGGCGGCGUGCCUAAUACAUGCAAGUCGAGCGAAUCAAUAGAAGCUUGCUUCUGUUGAUUAGCGGCGGACGGGUGAGUAACACGUGGGCAACCUGCCUGUAAGACUGGGAUAACACCGGGAAACCGGUGCUAAUACCGGAUAAUCCUUUUCCUCUCAUGAGGAAAAGUUGAAAGUCGGUUUCGGCUGACACUUACAGAUGGGCCCGCGGCGCAUUAGCUAGUUGGUGAGGUAACGGCUCACCAAGGCGACGAUGCGUAGCCGACCUGGGAGGGGGAGAGGCCACACUGGGACUGAGACACGGCCCAGACUCCUACGGGAGGCAGCAGUAGGGAAUCUUCCACAAUGGACGAAAGUCUGAUGGAGCAACGCCGCGUGAGCGAUGAAGGCCUUCGGGUCGUAAAGCUCUGUUGUUAGGGAAGAACAAGUGCUAGUUAAAUAAGCUGGCACCUUGACGGUACCUAACCAGAAAGCCACGGCUAACUACGUGCCAGCCGCCGCGGUAAAAC